rnacentral:tRNA from 1 species
AAGGCUUUAAGUUAAAUAAACUUAUAGCCUUCAAAGCUAUGAAUAUAGGAAUAUCCUUUAAGUCUUA